CGGUUAUACCAAGUGAUUAAGUUAUAUUUUUAGGUAAAAAGACAGUUAGGUUUUAUUUUAUAAAGUAACUUUAGUUUAUUAAACAUCUAUAGAAAAGUAAAAUUUGUAUAUAGAUAGCUGAUCUAAAAAUGACUAAAUAAUACUGAAGCUGUGAUAAUCUUGAGGGAAACUGGGAUUAGAUACCCCAUUAUUCUUGAUUGUAAAUAUAAUUAAAUUUACCAGAGUACUAUGAAUAGUUAAAAAUUUAAAACUCAAAGGGCUUGGCGGUGUUUUAGACCUAUCAGGGGAACCUGUCUCGUAAUCGACAAUCCGCGCAAUAUCUAACCUUACUUUGUAACCAGUUUGUAUACCGUCGUCGUCAGGUAACUUUUAAAAACGUAGAAGUUAGCAAUCAAAAUUUUUUAAAUUAAGACGUCAGAUCAAGGUGCAGCCUAUAGUAAGGAGAGGAUGGGUUACAGUUAUAAAAAUCAUAAUUACGGAAAUUUAAAUGAAACCUAUUUUGAAGGAGGACUUGAAAGUAAACUAAAAUACAUAAAUAGUUUGAAUAAGGCUCUG
rnacentral:rRNA from 1 species